rnacentral:tRNA from 1 species
GCCGUGCAUGGCCAGGGCCAUGACCACCUCUUCCAGCGAGGUGUUGCCGGCGCGCUCGCCCAGGCCGUUGAUGGUGCACUCCACCUGGGUGGCGCC